ensembl:snRNA U6 U6 spliceosomal RNA
GUGCUCGCUUCGGCAGCACAUAUACUAAAAUUGGAACGAUACAGAAAAGAUUAGCAUGGCCCCUGUGCAAGGAUGACACGUAAAUUCGUGAAGCGUUCCAUAUUUAA